UACGUAGGGGGCAAGCGUUGUCCGGAAUCAUUGGGCGUAAAGGGCGCGUAGGUGGCUUCUUAAGCGUGCGGCGAAAGCCUGGGGCUCAACCCCGGGUCGGCCGUGCGAACUGGGGGGCUGGAGCACUGUAGAGGCAGGCGGAAUUCCGGGUGUAGCGGUGGAAUGCGUAGAGAUCCGGAAGAACACCGGUGGCGAAGGCGGCCUGCUGGGCAGUUGCUGACACUGAGGCGCGACAGCGUGGGGAGCAAACAGG
rnacentral:rRNA from 1 species